CUUAGAUUAUUCAUCGACUGAAGAGGGAGACAGAGAGAGAGAAAGAGAAGAGGAAGAAGAGAGAAAAAUGAAGAGCAAUGGGGUGUGAUCCUUCCCAUGAAACUAUCCCCAAAUCCUUCUAAAGACUUCCAUCUAGGUUCUUUGGAGACCUCUGCUGUCGGAAAGGAGCUUGUCUGGUUCAGCCGUGUGGGAGAGACCCCUCAAAUAAAUGAAUGAAGAGGUCAAGCUGGAAAAGGAUUCCUACAGGACCCAGGCCCGGAUUUCUCUAAGGCCAUAGGAGAAGGAUGGGAGAAGUUAGGGCUAUGGAGUGAAGAAGGUCUGUGGUAUGGAGGGGAAUUGAGUGCCAAGUAAUAACCAUGCACUGUCUUCUCUUUACCUUUUCUUUUGGGGGGAACUUGGAAGAAGUUGUGAAAGACUGCUAAUAUUCUCUUCUCACUUUCACUUAGGG
rnacentral:lncRNA from 1 species